rnacentral:misc_RNA from 1 species
AAGUCGUAACAAGGUUUCCGUAGGUGAACCUGCGGAAGGAUCAUUAUCGAGUUUUGAACGGGUUGUAGCUGGCCUUUAACGAGGCAUGUGCACACCUGGCUCAUCCACUCUCAACCUCUGUGCGCUUUAUGUAAGAAACGGUGUAAGCCAGCUAUUUAAUAGUUGGUAACAAGCCUUUCUUAUGUUUACUACAAACGCUUCAGUUAUAGAAUGUUUACUGUGUAUAACACAAUUAUAUACAACUUUCAGCAACGGAUCUCUUGGCUCUC